GCCGCAAUAAAGAAUACCUGCUUGUCAGCUUGAAAACUUUGUUGGCAAGUUUGUUCCUGGAGUUUUCUCCGAAUCAAUUUGGCGACCCAGAUGGGACCCUCUCUGCUCGGCUGCAGGACCCGCUGAGGAGAGGGCUCCCUAGGGCCCUCGGGAAUUUUUCCCGGAGGGACCCCUCGGCUCAUUCGGAUCGCUGCGGGAGCAGACAAGGACCAUCUCCUAAAAAGGAAAUCGAGAAGUCCAGUUCACCCGAAGUAGAAGAAAUCCUCAAUCAGGUAUAUCCAGGAGUUUGGGCAUCAGAAAUUCCAGGGGUUUAAAAACAGUCCAACGAUUUUUGGAAAUCAGCUAGCACGAGAAUUAGAAUCAUGGAAGCCACCUACUCAGAAGGGGACUCUGUUACAAUAUGUGGAUGACCUGUUAAUUGCUACAGAAACAAAGGAAGAAUGCAUCCAGUGGACAGUUGAAUUAUUAAAUUUUCUGGGACUGAAUGGUUAUCGGGUAUCCAGACAAAAAGCCCAACUAAUCCAAACCCGAGUUUCCUACCUAGGAUAUGAAAUAACAGGAGGACAGAGAGAACUUGGAACUGCCAGGAAAGAAGCCAUUUGCCAGACUCCACGACCGUCAACCAUCAAGGAGCUCCGGACAUUCCUGGGAAUGACAGGAUGGUGCAGACUUUGGAUCCAUGAUUAUGGUGUUCUGCAUCCUUUUUGCAGGAACAGUCGACAGAACCACUAACCCACGACUGCUUGACCACCAUAGAGACUGUAUAUUCGAGCCGACCAGACUUGAAAGAAAACCCUCUGGAAGAUGCUGAUUCUUGGUUUACUGAUGGUAGCAGCUUUAUGAAAAAUGGCAAACGAAAGGCAGGAUAUGCUGUCACCACCACUUCACAGGUAAUAGAAGCUAAACCUUUACCUGCAAACACCUCUGCACAGAAGGCAGAAAUAAUAGCAUUAACAAG